AAGUCGAACGGAGUUUAACAGGUGCUUGCACCGGUUAAACUUAGUGGCGGACGGGUGAGUAACGCGUGGGUAACCUGCCUCGUACUGGGGGAUAACAGUUGGAAACAGCUGCUAAUACCGCAUAAGCUCACAGAGCCGCAUGGCUCAGAGAGAAAAACUCCGGUGGUACGAGAUGGACCCGCGUCUGAUUAGCUAGUUGGUGAGGUAACGGCUCACCAAGGCGACGAUCAGUAGCCGGCCUGAGAGGGUGAACGGCCACAUUGGGACUGAGACACGGCCCAAACUCCUACGGGAGGCAGCAGUGGGGAAUAUUGCACAAUGGGGGAAACCCUGAUGCAGCGACGCCGCGUGAGUGAAGAAGUAUUUCGGUAUGUAAAGCUCUAUCAGCAGGGAAGAUAAUGACGGUACCUGACUAAGAAGCACCGGCUAAAUACGUGCCAGCAGCCGCGGUAAUACGUAUGGUGCAAGCGUUAUCCGGAUUUACUGGGUGUAAAGGGUGCGUAGGUGGCAAGGCAAGUCUGAAGUGAAAAUCC
rnacentral:rRNA from 1 species